rnacentral:lncRNA from 1 species
CUGAGCAGCCCUGGAAAUUUUUUUCUGGCAGAUCGUUGCAUGUGGUUAUGAGAUGGUCAUACCACCUUUGUGUGUUUUGGGGCAUCUGAAAUUGAGGACUUCAGAAUGAGACAAUCUAUUUCACAUACUACAUAAUAAUGUUGAAGCAAUUUUAUUUCUUUAAAAAAGCCCUACAGGGUGGAUUAGGAGAUAGUACGUUUUUGACAUUAUGGGACCUUCUAGAAUCCUGGAUUUCUCAAAAUGUUUGGAUAGCAAUCUUCUUUAUAAUUUCCUUAGGAAUUAUUUUUGAGAUGGUACUCAUAAAGAUUUGUACAUCCUUUCAGAAGAAGCCUGCACUUCCAGAAAAGAGUAAUUCAGAUGCCCAGGAGAAGGAACACAGUUGCCUGAAAAGCAUGAAAUUUGACAAUUGGUCAAUUCAUUCAUCUUCAGAGGAAAGGGUUGACCUCAGCUUUAGAAGUGUGUUCCUGGGAGAGUCUGCCACCAAUUACCUGACUUUCAAAGCUUGAAGCUGCCGCUGACUGGUUGGUUUCAGAAACAUAUUUCCUGAAGCG